UUAGGCGUCUUACUUUAUCAGGAUCGAUUUUCAAUGCCUCCUUUAACCCACCUUUAGGUUUGCCAGCAUGGAUGGCAAUAAGGCGUUUAUAAGCAGAUGCCACAUGUCCUCUGUGAGUGGCGUCAUCGUCAUCUUCAUAACUUUUAUCACUAUCGCUCUUUUCAUUUUCUUCUUGAUCAGCUGUCAAGCUAGAAGGCUCGGAACCCCAUACAUCAUCCUCGGA
rnacentral:misc_RNA from 1 species